GUAGGGAAUAUUGGGCAAUGGAUGCAAGUCUGACCCAGCCAUCCCGCGUGCCGGAAGAAGGCCCUCAGGGUUGUAAACGGCUUUUGACGGUGAAGAACCGACAGGAUGCGUCCUGUUUUGACGGUAGCCGUUGAAUAAGCACCGGCUAACUCCGUGCCAGCAGCCGCGGUAAUACGGGGGGUGCGAGCGUUGUCCGGAUUUAUUGGGUUUAAAGGGUGCGUAGGCUGGAAGGUCAGUCAGCGGUGAAAAGCUAUCGCUUAACGAUAGUCUUGCCGCAGAUACUUCCUUUCUUGGAUGAGGAGGAGGCCACUGGAACGGAUGGUGUAGCGGUGAAAUGCAUAGAUAUCAUCCAGAACACCGAUUGCGAAGGCAGGUGGCUGUACCUUAAUCGACGCUGAUGCACGAAAGCAUGGGGAGCAAACAGGAUUAGAAACCCGGGUAGUCC
rnacentral:rRNA from 1 species